rnacentral:lncRNA from 1 species
CUCUCCAAGCUGCUCCGAGGGGAAUGGGGAAUCGGCAGGAAAUGACCCGAACUGCCAGCCUGCGCCUUUGCAGCCGGCCCUCGCUUUGCUGAAGACGAGCAGCUCCCACCAAAGUCUUGCCUCCCCUUACCCCGAAAGCCCCGCUCAGUUCAAUAUUUCAAGUGAAAAUCUGCCUGUUCGAAAAGAAAAUAUUCACAAAUGAGCAGUGUAUUAGAAGACAACUGAAUUGCUUCUAAGAAUGGGUCUCACUCUGCCAUCACCCAGGCUGGAGUGUGGUGGCACCAUCAUGGCUCACUGCAGCCUUGAACUCCUGAGCUCAAGUCAUCCUCCCACCUCAGCCUUCCGAGUAGCUGGAACUGCAGGUGUGAGCCACCAUGCCUGGCUGAUUUGUCUUUUUAAAUUUUUUAUAGAGACCGAGUCUCAACUAUAUUGUCCAGGCUGGAAAAGAACUUCUUUCCCUCCAAGUGAUAACCUUUUCCAGACAAGUCAGCUUAAAAACUGACCCAAAGGCCCUGAAGUACACAGUUUUCUUGGAGAAAGAAAAAAAUAAGUGAAAAGGACUUGCUGACUUGCUAAUUCAUUUUGGGGCCUGUGGGUAACAUCAGAAUGGCAAAGCACUUGGGGCUUUUUUCUAAUUUGUAUUUUUUUAAUCUUCUGAGAAAUGACUUUUAUAUGCCAAGAUUCAUUCCAUGAUUAGUUUUUAUGACCAAGUUAUGAACGCUUUUGAAUAUGGGGACCUAGAAUAGAAAUGCUAACCUACCUGCAAGGAGAGCUCUGUGAUUGGCAUCCCCAUCAUGCUGUAACUGACACAAAAUAAACUUAGGGUAAUUGCCGCAUAGUGUAACUUUAAUGUGUGAGCAUACUGUAACAUCUGACAAGCUUCUUGAUCUAGAUCAGCAAUGUGUAACCCAUUCAUUGUUGUCACUCUCAACAAGGCCUUAUGGUCAAACAUCAUCACUCUCACUAAAGAGAUAGUUUACUGAAAUAUACUGAGAUUUUGAAACUGGAGUCAAGAGGUAGCACACUGUUUUAUGUUGAUCCAUUUAAUGGUCCUUGACAGCCAAUAAAAAGACACUGGAAGAAUACGUGAAUGCAGUAAUUGUUAAUAGGUCUAUUGAUAAUAUUUUCAACACCAGGUAGGGAGGGAGACAGGGAGGAGGAGGAAAGGAAGGAAGGGAGGAAAGGAGGAAGGGAGGAAGGGAGGGAGGGAGGGAGGAAGGGAGGGAGGGAAUGCUCUGACAUCUUACUCCAGAAAUAGAGCUGUUUUUAUAUAUUUUACUCCAUUAUUUUGGAUAUCAAUACUGACCAUACUGAGGUCUGUGGUCAUUUACACAGUUGGCCAAAUUUCACUGAAGUUUGUUUUUCAGAUUCUACUAGGUGUUUUCAUGUGGCAGUUGCCUAAUUUUUUACUAUAUUUAAGAUUUGUCCUUACGUUUUGGAUAUUCUGCCUUUGUUCUUCACAAAUGCUCAACUGUCAUAGAGGGUCUUCUGAUUUUUUUGGCAUGGGGUCACUCAACUAAAUUAUAGCUAGAUAAUAACUCCAAAGCCUAGUUCUCCUGGCUUUCCCUGCUGACCUACUCAUGUCCAGAUGUUCUCAUUUAUAAAGUGUGAGUCUUUGAAGAGUCAUUCUAAGAUUGCAGACUGCCAGGUUAUAUUCAAUACUCUGGACCUAAAUUAUUUGAUACAUUUUGGAAGAACCUGGUAGGUAGUGAGGAGGUGGGUGGGGUAUGGAGUCUUUGUUAGUCAGGAAAGAACAUUCUACUUGGGUUACUAAGGUAUCAGAUUAUUCAGUAAGGUAGACCAUUAAGAGCUAAGUUGCAUGGUGUGCACCUUAGUGCUUUAGGAAAUCAAAGGAAAGAAAUACCAAUGAGGACAGAAAGAGUUCUCCAGAGGAAGUAGACUGCAACUGUAUUUGUGAAGGAUGAGUGGCUGUGGAUGGAAGAAAAGAACAUUUUCAGUAAGGGGACAUGGUGGGUGAAAUGCUGAGGCAGGGAUGGGCUCAGUGUUCCCAGAGCUGUAAGGACCCCAAGAAAAUUUCACUUGUACUCUAUGUGCUUACUAUUUUUGUCUGUCCAGAGUGAAUCAGUUCUCCUAGAGACAGAUUUGACAGUCUGCACACAUUGAGAUCUGUUUCAUUUUAACUUUUCUUCUUGCUUCUCUCAAAUCUGGCUAAAAUACUAUUCUGGUCAUGUCAUUUUCCUGCUUCAGACCCCUCUAUGGCUCCCUGUUGCUCAGUCUCCUGAAGAUUUCAUGCCAGAUCUUUGCAUCCACCCCGCUCCCCCUGCCACCUUGAGCUUCAUUUAACAUCUGGACCCUUCUCACUUCUUGCGUCCCAGCUCCAGCCACCUGGAACUGGCAACUGCCAUACUCUCUCUUGCCUCUGGCCCCUCACAUAAAGCUCAGGUGUUGGUUUAAACAUCACUUCCACAGGAAGACCGGAUUAGGCUCCACUGCUAUUCCUUCUCACCCCUGCAGUGACCCCUUUCUUUUUUUUUUUUUUUUUUUUGUAUAGACAGCCAUUUUCAAGUUCAAACUCAUGAUCUUGGAGACACUUAGAUUUUCUCACAAAUUAUUUGCACAUUUUUAAUAGACUAUUUUUUAGGUAAUUUUACAUUCACAGCAAAGUUGAGGGGAAGGUACAGAGAUCUCACAUAUGCCCCUGCCACUCCCCAUGUUAUCAACACCCCCCACCAUCAACAUCCCCUACCAGAGUGGUACAUUUAAAACAAUUCAUGGACCUACAUGAACAUAUCAUUAUCACUCAAAGUCCAUAGUUUACAUCAGGAUUCAUUCAUAGUCUAUGGGUUUGGACAAAUGUAUAAUGACAUAUAUCUACCAUUAUUGUAUCAUACACAGUAGUUCCACUGCUUAAAAAAAAAAAACUCCUCUAUGCUCCAUCUAUUCAUCACUCACUGUCCCUAAGCACUGGAAACCACUGGUCUUUUUACUAUCUUCAUGGUUUUGCCUUUUCCAGAAUGUCAUAUAGUUGGAAUUAUUAUAGUAUAUAGCCUUUUUAGAUUGGCUUCAUUCACUUAGUAAAAUGCAUUUAACUUUGUUCCACAUCUUUUCAUGGCUUGAUAGCUAUUUUUAGUACUGAAUAAAUAUUUCAUUGUCUGGAUGUCCUCAAGCUUAUUUAUCCAUUCACAUACUGAAGGACACCAUGGUUGCUUCCAAAUUUCGGGAAUUGUGGAUAAAGCUGCCAUAAACAUCUGUAUGCAGGUUUAUGUGUGGACACAUUUUAAUUACUUAAAUAUCUGCCAUCCUCAUGAGACAUAAACUCCUUGCAAUGAAAAACCAUAUUUGACUUGAUCAGUUGUGACCAGCAGAGAACCUGGACCCUAUUCAUUCAUUCAUUCAUUCAAAAAUUUAUAUUAAAUACUUGUCAUGUGCCCUAAUGCAACAGAGAGCAAAACAAACAAAAAUUCUGUCCUCACAUUCUGCCUGGGAAGAUCAACACUAAAAUGAGCCAAAACUAAAAAAUACAGUAUGUAUAUAUUUAUAGUAUAGCAAUAAAUAUGUGGGAGAAAUAUAAAGCAAGGAAGGAGAACAGAAAGUGCCGGGUGCAAGGCGAACUUUAGACAGAGCGGCCAGGGGAGGCCUCACUAAGAGGAUGACAUUUGAACAAAGACCUGGAGGAAGCAAGGACGAGUCAUGCAGAUAGCUGGAGAGGAGCCAUCAGACUGAAGAAACAGCAAGUGCAAAGUCCCUGUCCUGCCGUGUGCCCUGGCACGUUAAGCAGGUCACUUGGGCUGAAGCAGAAAGAGCAAGGAGAGGGGAGUUAGGAAUUGAAGUCAGAAUCCAGGGCAGGCUCCAUCCUGGCCUCACUGUCCACCUUCCAGCAGAUGUGGAUCAGCAAGCGGGAAUACGAGUCCAGCCCCUCCGCUGUCCGCUGCAAAUGCCUCUAGGCAGACUGUUACUUAGUUGCGUUAUACCCUUUCUUGCCAAAACCUAUCUAUGGGCAAAAAACAAGAUUGGCAAGGCUUUUGUUUUGUUUUGUUUUUGGAUUGACUCAGGAUUUAAAAAAACUAGACCGAUGAAGGUGACAGCAGUCAGUUGGAGUGAGCAUCCCCCAAAGUUCUGCAAUGUGUCUGAGGACUUUGAUUAAUCUUUUUUUAAGUCAUUCCAAAUAUCGUGAGAUGCAUUGUUACAGGAAGACGCUUGCCAUCCCCAAAACCACCCCACUUCUCUCUAAGGAGAAUGGCCCAGUCCUCUCCCGAGUCCCACACAUGGGAGGUGAUAGCAGUGCUUUCAAUGUAAAUAAGGUAAUGUAAUUUUUUUAAUCUUCAAUUUAAUACUUUUUUAUUUUGAAUGAUCAGCCAUCGUGGCCCCCCUUUUUUGUCUCCCAACUUGCGAUGUAUGAAUGCUUUUGGUCUCCCUGGGAGGGGGUGGAGGUGUGGAGGCAGCCAGGGCUUACCUGUACACUGACUUAAGACCAGUUGAAUAAAAGUGCAUACCUUAAAAAAAGAAAAAAAGAAUCAGGGGGAAAGGACAGUGGUCAUCACUUAACCAAGUGGUUGGAGAAAGACUGUUGUUUGCUGCUAUGUAAUAUGUGCACUUCAGACUGGAAGAUCCAAAUAGAUGGAUAGACUAGGUUGUGUCCUUUUCUGCUUUAAAGACUAUUUUAAAUGACAGUUUUAAUGAUUUAAAACAAUAAUGGUAACUCAACAUGGAACAAAGCUCAGCUAUCAAAAGUUCAUUAAGUAAAAGGAUCCCAACACAGUCAAGUCUUACCCAGGGAUCCUAUGCAAGAUGCAGAACAUAUGCACAUCUUUUAUUAUUAUUAUACUUUAAGUUCUAGGAUACAUGUGUAGAACGUGCAGGAUUGUUACAUAGCUGUACACGUGCCAUGAUGGUUUGCUGCACCUACCAACCCAUCAUCUACAUUAGGUAUUUCUCCUAAUGCUAUCCCUCCCCUAGCUCCCCACCCCCCGACAGGCCCCAGUGUGUGAUAUUCCCCUCCAUGUGUCCAUGUGUGCUCACUGUUCAACUCCCACUUAUGAUUGAGAACAUGCGGUGUUUGGUUUUCUGUUCUUGUGUUGGUUUGCUGAGCAUGAUGGUUUCCAGCUUCAUCCAUGUCCCUGCAGAGGACAUGAACUCAUUCUUUUUUAUGGCUGGAUAAUAUUCCAUGGUGUAUAUGUGCCACAUUUUCUUUAUCCAGUCUAUGAUUGAUGAGUAUUUGGGUUGGUUCCAAGUCUUUGCUGUUGUGAACUGUGCUGCAAUAAACAUACACAUGCAUGUGUCUUCAUAGUAGAAUGACUUAUAAUCCUUUGGGUAUAUGCCCAGUAAUGGGAUUGCUGGGUCAAAUGGUAUUUCUGGAUCUAGAUCCUUGAGGAAUUGCCACACUGUCUGCCACAAUGGUUGAACUAAUUUACACUCCCACCAACAGUGUAAAAGUGUUCCUGUUUCUCCACAUCCUCUCCAGCAUUUGUUUUCCUGACUUUUUAAUGAUCCAUUCUAACUGGCAUGAGAUGGUAUCUCAUCGUGGUUUUGAUUUGUAUUUCUCUAAUGAUCAGUGAUGAUGAGCUUUUUUUCAUGUGUUUGUUGGCCGCAUAAAUGUCUUCUUUUGAGAAGUGUCUGUUCAUAUCCUUUGCCCACUUUUUGAUGGGAUUGUUUGUUUUUUUUCUUGUAAAUUUGUUUAAGUUCUUUGUAGAUUCUGGAUAUUAGCCCUUUGUCAGAUGGACAGAUUGCAAAAAUUUUCUCCCAUUCUGUGGCUUGCCUGUUCAUUCUGAUGAUAGUUUCUUUUGCUGUGCAGAAGCUCUUUAGUUUAAUUAGAUCCCAUUUGUCAAUUUUGGCUUUUGUUCCCAUUGCUUUUGGUAUUUUAGUCAUGAAGUCUUUGCCCAUGCCUGUGUCCUGAAUGGUAUUGCCUAGGUUUUCUUCUAGGGUUUUUAUGGUUUUAGGUCUUACGUUUAAGUCCUUAAUCCAUCUUGAGUUAAUUUUUGUGUAAGGUGUAAGGAAGAGGUCUAGUUUCAGUUUUCUGAUAUGGCUAGCCAGUUUUCACACAAUAAAAAGUGAUAAAGGGGAUAUCACCACUGAUCCCACAGAAAUAAAAACUACCAUCAGUGAAUACUAUAAACACCUCUAUGCAAAUAAACUAGAAAAUCUAGAAGAAAUGGAUAAAUUCCUGGGCACAUACACACUCCCAAGACUAAACCAGGAAGAAGCCGAAUCCCUGAAUAAACCAAUAACAAGUUCUGAAAUUGAGGCAGUAAUUAAUAGCCUACCAACCAAAAAAGCCCAGGACCAGAUGGAUUCACAGCUGAAUUCUACCAGAGGUACAAAGAGGAGCUGGUACCAUUCCUUCUGAAACUAUUCCAAACAAUAGAAAAGGAGGGACUCCUCCCUAACUCAUUUUAUGAGGCCAGCAUCAUCCUGAUACCAAAGCCGGCAGAGACACACAAAAAGAGAAUUUUAGACCAAUAUCUCUGAUGAACAUUGAUAAUAAAAUACUGGCAAACCAAAUCCAGCAGCACAUCAAAAAGCUUAUCCACCACGAACAAGUCAACUUCAUCCCUGGGAUGCAAGGCUGGUUCAACAUAGGCAAAUCAGUUAACGUAAUCCAUCACAUAAACAGAACCAAUGACAAAAACCACAUGAUUAUCUCAAUAGAUGCAGUAAAGACCUUCCAUAAAAUUCAACACCCCUUCAUGCUAAAAACUCUCAAUAAACUACGUAUUAAUGGAAUGUUUCUCAAAAUAAUAAGAGCUAUUUAUGACAAACCCAUAGCCAAUAUCAUACUGAAUGGGCAAAAGCUGGAAGCAUUCCCUUUGAAAACUGGCUCAAGACAAGCAUGCCCUUUCUCACCACUCCUAUUCAACAUAGUAUUGGAAGUUCUGGCCAGGACAAUUAGGCAGGAGAAGGAAAUAAAGGGUAUUCAAUUAGGAAGAGAGGAAAGGGUAUUCAAAUAGGAAGAGAGGAAGUCAAAUUGUCUCUGUUUGCAGAUGACAUGAGUGUAUAUUUAGAAAACCCCAUUGUCUCAGCCCAAAAUGUCCUUAAGUUGAUAAGCAAUUUCAGCAAAGUCUCAAGAUACAAAAUCAAUUUGCAAAAAUCACAAGCAUUCCUGUACACCAAUAAUAGACAAACAGAGAGCUAAAUCAUGAGUGAACUCUCAUUCACAAUUGCUACAAAGAGAAUAAAAUACCUAGGAAUACAACUUACAAGGGAUGUGAAGGACCUCUUCAAGGAGAACCACAAACCACUGCUCAAGGAAAUAAGAGAAGAAACAAAGAAAUGGCAAAACAUUCCAUGCUCAUGGAUAGGAAGAAUCAAUAUCAUGAAAAUGGCCAUACUGCCCAAAGUAAUUUAUAGAUUCAAUGCUAUCCCCAUUAAGCUACCAUUGACUUACUUCACAGAAUUAGAAAAAAACUACUUUAAAUUUCAUAUGGAACCAAAAACGAGCCCAUAUAGCCAAGACAAUCCUAAGCAAAAAGAACAAAGCUGGAGGCAUCACACUACCUGACUUCAGACUAUACUACAAGGCUACAGUAGCUAAAACAGCUUGGAACUGGUACCAAAACAGAUAUAUAGACCUAUGGAACAGAACAGAGGCCUCAGAAAUAACGCCACACAUCUCCAACCAUCUGAUCUUUGACAAACCUGACAAAAACAAGCAAUGGGGAAAGGAUUCCCUGUUUAACAUAUGCACAUCUUAUGCAAAAGGCAGAUCUUAUGCACAUCUUACGGAAUAUGCUUAUGCACAUUACUAUAGUAAGCAAGAGAUCCAUGCACGGAAGUGAAAGAACAAGAAAGGAGGUAACUUCAGCUACCAAAGAUGUUUUAGAAUCCACCUUCACCCUAAAUGAUUAUCCAGUUAUGACGACAUAGAAAAUUGUGGUUUUCUUAUUGUUGUUUUCAUCUAGCCAUUCAGAGGCCCUAUUCUUGUCCACUACUAGUAUAACAAGCAAUUAAAGUAACUAUUUCUUUUUAUUUAUUUUUUUGAGAGAGUCUCACUCUGUGUCCCAGGCUGGAGUGUCGUGGCACCAUCUCAGCUCACUACAACUUCUGCCUCCCAGGUUCAAGUGAUUCUCCUGUCUCAGCCUCCCGAGUAGCUGGGAUUACAGGUAUGCACCACCACACACAGCUAAUUUUUGUAUUCUUAGUAGAAACAGGAUUUCACCAUGUUGGCCAGGCUAGUCUCGAACUCCUGACCUCAAGUGAUCCGUCCACCUUGGCCUCCGGAAGUGCUGGGAUUACAGGCAUGAGCCACCACGCCGGCCUAAAGUAACUAUUUCAUCAGGUGAUACUUAGCACCAUACAAAAUUCCUCCAUCCACAGGGAAAGUAUUAGAUGCACCAGAAAGAGGAUGAAUGCAGAAGGAAUUUCUUUCUUGAAAUACCUCUUCAUAGCUACAGACUCCAGAGUUCAUAACUUGUGUGGGUACCACAAAGCCCUCUGUACAGGACAUCUGCUGAGGCUAACUCUGUGGAAUGUCACUCAGCACGGCUGAUGGGCUCCCCCAGCCACCCUCAAUUCAUCAGCACAGAUCACGCACACCAGCUUUCCUUCUCUCAACACUUGGCUCCCAGCCCUUCACAGAACCCAUGAAUGGAGCCGCCUAAGGAAAAAGAUACACAAGAAAUAAGGGUUAGACAAAUACCACAUCUAUUUCCAAAACCAGUAAACUUACCAUGAGAACACCUUUCCAGUGUAGGGCUUAGUUUGAAUUCCAUCAUAACAAAGAAAAACAAAUCUUCAUUAUGUUUUUCCAGAAUCUAGGCCACAUCAAAAUUCUCUGAUUGUCAUAGCACAUCACAUGGCAUAGACAGCAUAAAUGCACUAGAGAAAUAAAUGUUAACAUACAAAACACAAGAGGGCAAUGUGAAAAGAUAGUAUCUGUGAGGGAGGUGUUGAUGCCUCUGUUAUUAACUGCAGCUCAAAGCAUUGUUCAUGAGGCACUGACUGCCUCUCAACACAGUGUUAUCUCCUUGGCAUGUGCUUGAAGUUUUGGGUCUUUCUUGCUUUCCUCUAAUCUCCACCUUCUGUCGUUGUUAGUGAGCCUCAGUUUGGACUGAAAUCCUGUGGCACGCAGAGCUACAUGAUCAAAGCCUUGUGUAGGCAUUUGGGUCAGUGCCAGCAAAGUUCAGGUUGUACUUCAAACGAGUCCUCAGAGUGCCUCACAGCCAAGGGCAAGGGUUCACUGGGUUUGAUCUUGAGCUGCCCACAUUUAGGGAGUCUUCGGCCCCUUCAGUUGAUAAACCCUGCUUGGCAGAGCUCUGCUUUAAUUAACGUGGCCCUUGGGUCGAUUCGAUUUCCUAUGUGUCAGCACCUGACUGGGUGUAACCUUAUCUUUGCACAUCAUACUCAUGAUGGAUCUGAAACAGUACAGGUGAUGUUUGUCUUUGACCCAACAGCUGGAUUACAUCCCAGUUUCACAGCCACAGAAGAAAAGUCUGAAAUCUCAACUCCUUAUUGACAUUUUAUGGAGCAGCCACAUUGGCUCUCACCAUGUGACGUGCCUGCUUCCACUUCUCCUUCUACCAUGAUUGGAAGAUUCCUGAGGCCUUCACCAGAAGCCUAGCAGAUGCUGGUGCCAUGCUUGUACAGCCUGCAGAAACAUGAGCCAAUUAAAGCCCUUUCGUUUAUAAAUUACCCAGCAUCAGGUAUUUUUUCAUAGCAACGCAAAUGGCCUAAUACACUGUGCAUUUGGCAGGAAGCUGUUGCUGGUGGUCUGGGGGACUGAAUGAUUGAAUAAGCUUUCAAUUUAGGAAGCUCUUGAGAGAAUUCUGUAAUAGCACUUUCCAGUAGAAAUAUGUGAUUCACGAAUAGAAUUUUAAAUGUUCUAGUAGCUCCGUAAUAACAUUACAAAAAAAAAGGUGAAAUUCAUUUUAAUAAUCUUAUAUUUCACCCAGUAUUUCCAAAAUAUUAUCAUUUCAACGUGGAAUCAAUAUAAAAAUAAUGAGCUAUUUUGCAAUUUUGUUUUUAUAUGAAGUCUUCAAAAUCUGGUGUGUAUUUUACAUGUAUAUGUUUCAAUUUGUACCAGCAAAUUGCAGAGCUCAAUAGCCACAUGUGGCUAGUGGCUCUUAUAUUGAGGAGUCCAGUUUUAUAACAUCAACAUUAAAUCUCACCAUGGUCACCAAUGAAAAUGAACCCAGAGUAUUCUGGCUGGAUUUAUUCAUGAUAACUAAUCCCUCACUUACAUAAACAGUGUAUGCUUCAAGAAGGGAGAACAAAGAUUCUGUAAAGAUCUAUGUCCUAGGCAUUUCUCUUAUAUUUGACAGCCAAUAGUGUUUAUGACAAGCCCUAUACUUCAUAAGCAAGCUAUGACACAGUAUUGUAAAUACAAAUGUUUUAACUGUGGGUAUAGUAAAAGCAUUUUGGGCUUCCCAGAUUGGCUAGAUUCCACCAUCACUGGGGCCUGUUUGUGAUUAUGCAUCUAUGAUACAACUCAGAACCAAUUAUUCCAUCAUAAAAGGCAUGGUCAAGGCAAACUCUCACACAUAAUGUCACCUGUGAUCAUUUUUUUCUUACUGAAAUAGCUGCAGUGCUGUUGUAUACAAGCGUAUUUCUUUUAAUGAGAUAAGACAAAAUGAUAGCAUUGAGAUGAGAGACUUGUAAUGACUUCCCACUGGGAGCAAUGAUCUCUGGUUCUUAGUUUCUCCACCUGUGAAAUGGCAGUAAUAAUUUUGGCCCUAAGGUCUUAGUACCAUGAGGAUAUGAACAAAUACUUUUCAUUUGUCUGAUUCUCAGUUUAGCACAGGACUUAUGAUUGCAAAAGUAUUUCUUCAAUCUCCAGAAGUGUUUGUGAGAGAGAGGGCCAUCCAGUGAAUUACUUUUUCUUUAUUUUCUUUAGUGGGUCACUCACAGUUUGUGACAAGAGCAUUAGCAAUUGCAUAGCUGGUGCCAGGGGCACUGUGGAGUCAUUGAGGAAGUCACUGUUAGCUACAACCCGUAUGAAAGCCAAUUACUCUCUAGAGAGGCAACAUGCCAUCCUGAGAGAAUACAGGGCUGGUGCCUCAAAGUUUUUCCACAGACAAGCCAACAUGUCCAUUUCCACCCUCCACCCUCAUUCUCACAUUAAGCUAUGGAGAGGGGGAAUAUUUGUACUUUUUUCAUGGUCUUCCAAAGGAUGGACAUACUACUGCCACGAGAGAAAUUGCUGGUCAGAGAGAAGCAAUUCCUUAGAGAAAGCAACCCACAUAUCAUCACCCAAGAGAGCUGAACCAUUGCCAACAUCUCCAUCAGGAACUUGGAAGAGUUUUCUGUCUUCCCAACACAAUAAAACUGGAGACACGAGCAUGCAGAGCUCCAGCCAGCACAAUUACAUAAAGCCAAAGCACAUUAUCACUUGCAGGCUGCAGGAUUUAUGGCCAACUAUGAUGGAAAAUACAGAGAUACUUUACUUGUCUGAAUUCAACACUCAAAAAAGAUAGUAUGUAUUAUAUUAAUGAUAGAGAAAAGUUGUAUAUAUUGUACUUUUUCUAAUGAAAACCUUAGUAAACAGAGCAGAAACAGAUGCCAGCAUCUUAGAGAAGAAAGAAAAAUGGAAAAGAUUGCCAGUUUGCUCCUCUUCAGACAAUAUGCAAUUGCUGUUCUUGUUGAAAAAUUCCUUUCAAAUGCAUUGAGGCAGCAUUUCUAUUUUGGUGGUUUUCUGCAUUUGAGUUGCUGCUUCUAACUUGAGUGGAACAGAGAAGUUUGUAUUCUCUAUGGGUGUCUGCUGUUCCAAGUAUGAAGCAGUGAAGCUAAAAUCACUUUACUUCUAGAAACCUGUGAUUUCCAUUUGCCAUGAGGUUAGCACUUCCUCUGGCAGUGCCUUUGCCACGAACUGUCAUAGAACCAUGCUGUUUAUCUAGCAUAGCAUUCUUCUUUAUCAUAGCUGCUUACCACUUGUUUCUGCUCUGGAAUGCACCCUGUACGUGCAGGUUAUGUGGUGUCCUGGCCCAGUGCUGGCACACGGUGAGCACUCACAAAAAUAUUGAAGAGCUCUCUUCAGGUUGUAAUUUUAUGUUACCAAUGUUUUUACACAGUUGGUUUGCAUUAUGAGUACACAGUGAGAAGGUAAACCAGUGUGCUGUUUGUCUAUCGUUUCCAAAUUUUGAAUUAUUUAAAUACAUGUUAGUGAAAUCACUGUUUAUCAGAACCAAAAUUGCAAUCUUAAAACUUCUGCAAGAUAGAAAAGAUUGUUUAACAAAGGAAGGAAAAUAUUACAAAAACAGAUUUCUCUCUUAAUUUUGUCAGUGCUUGGACUUGGUCCCCAAAUCUUAAAAGUGAAUUUGUUUCCAGAACACCUGAAACAGAGACCACAUUUUUAUGUUUGCCUUUUUGCAGUGAAGUUUACAUUAGGGAGCUAUAUUUUCCUUAUAUUUAUUUUUAAAUCAUUUGGGCUUUCCAAUAAAAUAGCAUUCUCAUUUUCUUCCCUCUUCCCAGAUUAAUGCAUUUAUUAUUUUAAUGCAUGAAGGGGUCCACGUGGCGCUAUGGUUGGUGGCUGGGAUGCUCUGGAGUGGUGCGCUUGGAAAACAAUGUGUUAUUUGCACUUGAGAAAAUACUUUGUUGGCUAAGUGUCUAGGCACUGAAACAGUAACAGUUCAUCAAAAGACAGUUAUCCCAGAUACGCUUCCAAGAGUGGCAAUCAGUUUUCCUAAAGAGUCAAAGAAAAGAGUGAGAAUUGUGGGAAGUGGGAGACUAGAAGGACAGACUCAUUUGGAAACAGGAAGUGGUUCAAGGAACUUAGGAUUUGGAAUAUAGGAAAAGAAAUGGGGAAACAUACCCAUGCCUUCUCUUCUCUGUAGACAUCCAAUUUGAACCUACUCCAGAUUAGUAGGAAGUAAAAUCAUUAUCUGAUGUUCUGUGGCCACAUGGAAAAUACAUUGGUAGUUGCAACCAGACUAGAGUCAACAUUGAGAAACCAAUAGAACCACUAACUUGGGCUGGUGAGGCACAGCUACUGGUCAAAACCUGCCCAGGAGGCCCAGUACCACUCACAGUCAGGAUCGGGGUCAUGGUAGGGGAAGGUCAGCUAGCUUACUGCAGCCCAUCUCUGAUGGGGAGGUGAGGACUUCCAGCCCUGGGCUGCUCAUUCACCUCCCCUCUGGAGCAGUAAACAGGGAAGUAGCAAGAAGCUAAGCUCCUUUUGUUAGGCAUUGUUAAUUCCUCCAAGGUGACCAUUGAUGUAUUUUUUAUUCAGUAACUUAGCAUAUAUGUGUGUGCACAAUUAAUAGUUAUAUAUAAUAAAAGUGAAUAUAUUAAAAUUUAAAAAAAUAAAUUAUGAUCAUUGCACAAUUCUGUGACUAUACUACAAACCAUUAAAAUGUAUACUUUAAAUGGGUGUUUUUUAUGUUAUUUAUGUGAUUAUGUCUCAAUAAAGAUGUUUUAAAACCAUAAAUGUUUUUAUCCAUUAUUUUCCCUAAAAAAUCAUGCAUUGGGUUUUGUUAUUAUCAUUGACUUCCUUCCUUCUGUGUUUUUAUAUUGCCUUCUUCAAGUCUUGGUGAUCCCAGGAUAUACUCCAGAACUGAUAAAUGUUGGCUAAUGAAUUGUAGCUUUAUUCCAGUUUUAGCACUGCCAGGCCAGGCUAUAUUGUCUGUGUUAUGGGGUCAGUAUGAAAAAUUUUACUAAAAAAUGAAACUGACCCAGAGAGAGGCUCUUCAUGAGCUCCUGCACUUCCUCCUACUCACCUCACCUCCCAGGGUGCUCCUUGCCUUCUCUGGGUAUUGAUGCUUAUUGUGAUCUUGUGUACCAUAAUUUGAAAGGUAUUCUCUGAUACCUUCCACUACUACACUCUGUGGUUACAGAAGAGAUUGGU